rnacentral:rRNA from 1 species
ACACGCAUGAACACUGCAUAUCAAUAAGCGGAGGAAAAGAAACUAACAAGGAUUCCCCUAGUAACGGCGAGUGAAGCGGGAAGAGCUCAAAUUUGAAAUCUUCAAGGUUUGACCUUGACGAAUUGUAGUUUAAAGAAGUGUUUUCGGUUAGAGGAGUAGUAAAAGUUCUUUGGAAUAGGACAUCAUAGAGGGUGAGAAUCCCGUAUUUGACUAUUCUUUCUAGCUUUGUGAUACACUUUCAAAGAGUCGGAUUGUUUGGGAAUGCAGUCCAAAAUGGGUGGUAAAUUUCAUCUAAAGCUAAAUAUUGGCGAGAGACCGAUAGCGAACAAGUACCGUGAGGGAAAGAUGAAAAGAACUUUGAAAAGAGAGUUAAACAGUACGUGAAAUUGUCAAAAGGGAAGCGUUUGACACCAGUGUUGUUUUUCCGAAAAUCAAUUAAAAAUUGAUUCAUGCCAGGUUGUAUUGACCUUAUCAGCUUGCAAUUUGGUUUUGGGUCUCUUUUUGAUGCACUUUUCGGUUAACAAGUCAACAUCAAUUUCCUUUGCUGUAAAAAGGUAAGAGGAAGGUGGCUUCAAUUUCGGUUGAAGUGUUUAUAGCCUUUUAUCUCUGCAGUCGGGGAGAUUGAGGUCUGCAGCGUAGAUCCUUCGGGGCUAGAUACAUUUAUGCUAAGUUAUAGCUUUUCAUAGACAACUUGUUGACUAUGUUUAGUCAUGUAGCUUACUCGUAAGUGCUAUUUUACCUACGCUUAGGAUGUUGAGCGCAUGUCUCUCUCU